rnacentral:rRNA from 1 species
UAGGGAAUCUUCGGCAAUGGGGGGAACCCUGACCGAGCAACGCCGCGUGAGUGAAGAAGGUUUUCGGAUCGUAAAGCUCUGUUGUUAAGGAAGAACGAGUGUGAGAAUGGAAAGUUCAUGCUGUGACGUUACUUAACCAGAAAGGGACGGCUAACUACGUGCCAGCAGCUGCGGUAAUACGUAGGGGGCUAGCGUUGUCCGGAAUCACUGGGCGUAAAGGGUUCGCAGGCGGAAAUGCAAGUCAGGUGUAAAAGGCAGUAGCUUAACUACUGUAAGCAUUUGAAACUGCAUAUCUUGAGAAGAGUAGAGGUAAGUGGAAUUUUUAGUGUAGCGGUGAAAUGCGUAGAUAUUAAAAAGAAUACCGGUGGCGAAGGCGACUUACUGGGCUCAUUCUGACGCUGAGGAACGAAAGCGUGGGUAGCAAACAGG